rnacentral:rRNA from 1 species
GAUGAACGCUGGCGGCGUGCCUAAUACAUGCAAGUCGAGCGAACGGACGAGAAGCUUGCUUCUCUGAUGUUAUCGGCGGACGGGAGCGUAACACGUGGUUAACCUACCUAUAAGACUGGGAUAACUUCGGGAAACCGGAGCUAAUACCGGAUGAUAUUUUGACCUGCAUUGUUCCAACGUGAAAGACGCUCUUGCUGUCACUUAUAGAUGGAUCCGCGCUGCAUGAGUUAGUUGGUAAGGUAACGGCUUACCAAGGCAACGAUGCAUAGCCGACCUGAGAGGGUGAUCGGCCACACUGGAACUGAGGAACGGUCCAGACUCCGACGGGAGGCAGCAGUAGGGAAUCUUCCGCAAUGCGCGAGAGCGGGACGGAGCAAAACCGGGUGAGUGAUGAAGGUCUUCGGAUGGGAAAACUCUGUUAUUAGGGAAGUAGAUAUGUGUAAGUAACUGUGCACAUCUUGACGGUACCUAAACAGAAAGCCACGGCUAACUACGUG